CGGGGUAUAGCAUAGUGGUAGUGUGUGCGCAUGGGGUGCGCAUGGCGUCGGUCCGAUUCCGGCUAUCCCGA
rnacentral:tRNA from 1 species